rnacentral:misc_RNA from 1 species
UACGUAGGGGGCAAGCGUUGUCCGGAAUCAUUGGGCGUAAAGCGCGCGUAGGCGGCUCUGUAAGUCCGUUGUGAAAGUCAAAGGCUCAACCUUUGAAAGCCGAUGGAUACUGCAGGGCUAGAGUCCGGAAGAGGCGAGUGGAAUUCCUGGUGUAGCGGUGGAAUGCGCAGAUAUCAGGAGGAACACCAAUAGCGAAGGCAGCUCGCUGGGACGGUACUGACGCUGAGGCGCGAAAGCGUGGGGAGCAAACCGG